rnacentral:rRNA from 1 species
UACGUAGGGGGCCAGCGUUGCUCGGAAUUACUGGGCGUAAAGGGUUCGUAGGUGGUGCGGCAAGUUGGAAGUGAAAUCUCUGGGCUUAACCCAGAGGCUGCUUUCAAAACUGCCGUGCUCGAGUGCGAGAGAGGUCAGUGGAAUUGCAGGUGUAGCGGUGAAAUGCGUAGAUAUCCGUAGGAACAUCCGAGGCGAAAGCGGCUCGCUGGAUCACAACUGACGCUGAGGGACGAAAGCUAGGGGAGCAAACAGG